AAAUUGAAGAGUUUGAUCAUGGCUCAGAUUGAACGCUGGCGGCAGGCCUAACACAUGCAAGUCGAGCGGUAGCACAGAGAGCUUGCUCUCGGGUGACGAGCGGCGGACGGGUGAGUAAUGUCUGGGAAACUGCCUGAUGGAGGGGGAUAACUACUGGAAACGGUAGCUAAUACCGCAUAACGUCGCAAGACCAAAGUGGGGGACCUUCGGGCCUCAUGCCAUCAGAUGUGCCCAGAUGGGAUUAGCUAGUAGGUGGGGUAAUGGCUCACCUAGGCGACGAUCCCUAGCUGGUCUGAGAGGAUGACCAGCCACACUGGAACUGAGACACGGUCCAGACUCCUACGGGAGGCAGCAGUGGGGAAUAUUGCACAAUGGGCGCAAGCCUGAUGCAGCCAUGCCGCGUGUGUGAAGAAGGCCUUCGGGUUGUAAAGCACUUUCAGCGGGGAGGAAGGCGUUAAGGUUAAUAACCUUGGCGAUUGACGUUACCCGCAGAAGAAGCACCGGCUAACUCCGUGCCAGCAGCCGCGGUAAUACGGAGGGUGCAAGCGUUAAUCGGAAUUACUGGGCGUAAAGCGCACGCAGGCGGUCUGUCAAGUCGGAUGUGAAAUCCCCGGGCUCAACCUGGGAACUGCAUUCGAAACUGGCAGGCUAGAGUCUUGUAGAGGGGGGUAGAAUUCCAGGUGUAGCGGUGAAAUGCGUAGAGAUCUGGAGGAAUACCGGUGGCGAAGGCGGCCCCCUGGACAAAGACUGACGCUCAGGUGCGAAAGCGUGGGGAGCAAACAGGAUUAGAUACCCUGGUAGUCCACGCCGUAAACGAUGUCGAUUUGGAGGUUGUGCCCUUGAGGCGUGGCUUCCGGAGCUAACGCGUUAAAUCGACCGCCUGGGGAGUACGGCCGCAAGGUUAAAACUCAAAUGAAUUGACGGGGGCCCGCACAAGCGGUGGAGCAUGUGGUUUAAUUCGAUGCAACGCGAAGAACCUUACCUGGUCUUGACAUCCACAGAACUUUCCAGAGAUGGAUUGGUGCCUUCGGGAACUGUGAGACAGGUGCUGCAUGGCUGUCGUCAGCUCGUGUUGUGAAAUGUUGGGUUAAGUCCCGCAACGAGCGCAACCCUUAUCCUUUGUUGCCAGCGGUUCGGCCGGGAACUCAAAGGAGACUGCCAGUGAUAAACUGGAGGAAGGUGGGGAUGACGUCAAGUCAUCAUGGCCCUUACGACCAGGGCUACACACGUGCUACAAUGGCGCAUACAAAGAGAAGCGACCUCGCGAGAGCAAGCGGACCUCAUAAAGUGCGUCGUAGUCCGGAUUGGAGUCUGCAACUCGACUCCAUGAAGUCGGAAUCGCUAGUAAUCGUGGAUCAGAAUGCCACGGUGAAUACGUUCCCGGGCCUUGUACACACCGCCCGUCACACCAUGGGAGUGGGUUGCAAAAGAAGUAGGUAGCUUAACCUUCGGGAGGGCGCUUACCACUUUGUGAUUCAUGACUGGGGUGAAGUCGUAACAAGGUAACCGUAGGGGAACCUGCGGUUGGAUCACCUCCUUA
rnacentral:rRNA from 1 species